rnacentral:rRNA from 1 species
CGAGCACGCGCGUGUGGCAUAUCAAUAAGCGGAGGAAAAGAAACUAACAAGGAUUCCCCUAGUAACGGCGAGUGAAGCGGGAAGAGCUCAAAUUUGAAAUCUUAAAGGGUUUCCCUUUACGAAUUGUAGUUUAAAGAAGUGUUUUCUGUUGGAGUUUCGGUAAAAGUUCUUUGGAAUAGGACAUCAUAGAGGGUGAGAAUCCCGUAUUUGACCGUUACUUUCCAGCUGUGUGAUACACUUUCAAAGAGUCGGAUUGUUUGGAAAUGCAGUCCAAAAUGGGUGGUAAAUUUCAUCUAAAGCUAAAUAUUGGCGAGAGACCGAUAGCGAACAAGUACCGUGAGGGAAAGAUGAAAAGAACUUUGAAAAGAGAGUUAAACAGUACGUGAAAUUGUCAAAAGGGAAGCGUUUGACACCAGUGUUGUUUAGUUGAAAAUCAAUUCAAUAAUUUUUGAUUUUAAGUAGUAUUGACUUCAUCAGCUUGCUGCUUUCUUUUCAGGAAUUAUUGAAUGCACUUUUCAGUUAACAAGUCAACAUCAAUUUCUUUUGUUGUAAAAGGGUAAGAGGAAGGUGGCUUACGUUUCGGCGUAAGUGUUUAUAGCCUUUUACCUCUGCAAUCGGAGAGAUUGAGGACAGCAGCGUAGACUCCUUCUGGGGUUAGAUACACUUGUGCUAAGUUAUAGCUUUUCAUAGACAACUUGUUGACUAUGUUAAGUCUUGUAGCUUACUCGCUUAUGCUAUUUUACCUACGCUUAGGAUGUUGAGUCAUCACACAUCUCU